rnacentral:rRNA from 1 species
GAUGAACGCUGGCGGCGUGCUUAACACAUGCAAGUCGAACGGAAAGGCUCCUGCUUGCAGGGGUCCUCGAGUGUCGCACGGGUGAGUAACACGUGGGUGAUCUGCCCUGCACUUCGGGAUAAGCCUGUGAAACUGGGUAUCAUACCGGAUAGGACCACAUUAUGGUUGGUGUGGUGGAAAGUUUUUCGGUGUGGGGUGAGCUCGCGGCCUAUCAGCUUGUUGGUGGGGUAAUGGCCUACCAAGGCGUCGACGGGUAGCCGGCCUGUGAGGGGGUACGGCCACCGUGGGACUGAGAUACGGCCCAGACUCCUACGGGAGGCAGGAGUGGGGAAUAUUGCACAAUGCGCGCAAGCGUGAUGCAGCGACGCCGCGUGGGGGAUGACGGCUUUCGGGUUGUAAACUCCUUUCGCUAGGGACGAAGCGUUUUUGUGACGGUACCUGGAGAAGAAGCACCGGCUAACUACGUG